rnacentral:misc_RNA from 1 species
GAUCAACAUAAGAAACACACACUCCUACUCCUUGGUGUGUUCCUUUCUUCAAAGCCCCUCGCGAAUGAUCUAAUCGAUAGAUGCUCUGAAGCAUAUGUCAUGAAGGACGUCAAAAUAAGGCCGCCUACGACCAUCAAACCUAACCUCAAAAACAAAGAAGUGACUCCAAAAACACCAGGCAAUGCUGGGGCUGCAAUGGCAAGAAAUGCCAUCCCUAACCCAUAGUACCAUGCUUCAUUGUCACAACAUGAUUGUUGCCGCUGAUGACCUUUUCCAGGUUCAUAAUCCAAAGAUACAGGAUGAGCCGGAAAUUGACCAGGUUGAUUUGCCGCAACCCUUCCCCACUGAUAAACUAAGUGCAGAUAACUUCCGAACAAGAGGAAGAAAAGUGUAAAUGUCCAUUCGUACAUAAGGAGGAGACCAGUCCAUGGCAUUACUUGGCGCGGAAUGAUUAAAAGUGGAAGACCAAGGGACACAAGAGCAGCAGCAAAACAGACACAGACAGAUACCGCACCCAGAUAAGUAGGCAUCUUCAACUGCAUACCAUUUGGGAACUGCUGGCUGGAGCUGAUGGCAGAUGGAGGAACAGAGGCAUAAGCUAGGACACCUCCUCUGACCUUGUAGUACAUUUGUCUGAUAUGGUGCCAUAGUGAUUGUGUCUGUAAGAACGACCGAUAGUAACAAAAUGCUAUCAGAAGCAAUGGAAGCAAAUAAAGAAAUUUGACAAGAAGUUCAUCUCUGGAAUUUUUGCCGCCUCUAGUUCCAGGUAGAGAUUCUUGAAGUUGUACCCUGACAUUCUGCCAGACAUCAACAGGUUUUA